rnacentral:rRNA from 1 species
AGUGAACGCUGGCGGUAGGCCUAACACAUGCGAGUCGAACGGCAGCACAGUAAGAGCUUGCUCUUACGGGUGGCGAGUGGCGGACGGGUGAGGAAUACAUCGGAAUCUACUUUUUCGUGGGGGAUAACGUAGGGAAACUUACGCUAAUACCGCAUACGACCUACGGGUGAAAGCAGGGGAUCUUCGGACCUUGCGCGAUUGAAUGAGCCGAUGUCGGAUUAGCUAGUUGGCGGGGUAAAGGCCCACCAAGGCGACGAUCCGUAGCUGGUCUGAGAGGAUGAUUCGGCACACUUGAACUUGGACACGGUCCCGACUCCCAAGGGAGGCCGCAGUUGGGAAUUUUUGGCAAUGGGCGGAAGCCUGAUCCAGGCCUACCGGGGUGGUUAAGGAGGCCCUCGGGUUGGUAAGCCCUUUUUGUUGGAAAGAAAAGCCGGAGGGUAAAACCCCGGCUUUCCGACCGGUCCCAAAAGAUAAGCACCGGCUAACCUUGUU